rnacentral:rRNA from 1 species
UUCGUGGUGACCUGCGGAAGGAUCAUUA